rnacentral:rRNA from 1 species
GACGAACGCUGGCGGCGUGCUUAACACAUGCCAGUCGAACGGAAAGGCCCUGCUUUUGUGGGGUGCUCGAGUGGCGAACGGGUGAGUAACACGUGAGUAACCUGCCCUUGACUUUGGGAUAACUUCAGGAAACUGGGUCUAAUACCGGAUAGGAGCUCCUGCUGCAUGGUGGGGGUUGGAAAGUUUCGGCGGUUGGGGAUGGACUCGCGGCUUAUCAGCUUGUUGGUUGGGUAGUGGCUUACCAAGGCUUUGCCGGGUAGCCGGCCUGGGAGGGUGACCGGCCACAUUGGGACUGAGAUACGGCCCAGACUACUACGGGAGGGAGCAGAGGGGAAUAUUGCACAAUGGGCGGAAGCCUGAUGCAGCAACGCCGCGUGCGGGAUGACGGCCUUCGGGUUGUAAACCGCUUUCGCCUGUGACGAAGCGUGAGUGACGGUAAUGGGUAAAGAAGCACCGGCUAACUACGUG